rnacentral:rRNA from 1 species
GAUGAACGCUAGCGGGAGGCCUAACACAUGCAAGCCGAGCGGUAGAGAUUCUUCGGGAUCUUGAGAGCGGCGUACGGUGCGGAACACGUGUGCAACCUACCUUUAUCUGGAGGAUAGCCUUUCGAAAGGAAGAUUAAUACUCCAUAAUAUAUUGAUUGGCAUCGAUUGAUAUUGAAAGCUCCGGCGGAUAGAGAUGGGCACGCGCAAGAUUAGCUAGUUGGUGAGGUAACGGCUCACCAAGGCGAUGAUCUUUAGGGGCCUGAGAGGGUGAUCCCCACACUGGUACUGAGACACGGACCAGACUCCUACGGGAGGCAGCAGUGAGGAAUAUUGGUCAAUGGGUGCAAGCCUGAACCAGCCAUCCCGCGUGAAGGACGACUGCCCUAUGGGUUGUAAACUUCUUUUGUAUAGGGAUAACCUACCCUCGUGAGGGUAGCUGAAGGUACUAUACGAAUAAGCACCGGCUAACUCCGUGCCAGCAGCCGCGGUAAU